UGAAUACAUUGGUAAAAUGGUAACAAAUACUAAGGAUAUAACACCUGAAAUGCUCAAUAACAUGCUGAUAUCGGCAUAAAUAUACAUGAAGGUCAUAUCAAGAAAUUUUACUGGACCCUAUCAAGGCAGAAAUGUUUAGGACAUUUGAAAAUGAACAGUGCAACAAAAUGAAAUCAGGAAUAUCACCACCAUGUCUGCUCCUUGAUGACGCUGUCCAGGAAGUCCCAGUUUGGUUUAGACCAGGGGUGUCCAAACUAUGGUCCGCAGCAAAUUCUGAAAAUAUAAUUGAAUAUGGCCCGCACGUGGCGCUUGAGCUCAACUCUGUUGCACUUCUCAGUUUCAACGCUAGAUGGAGCCAGUCACAGAAGAGGUGCUUCUCUAUUAAACAAAAUUAAGCAAAGAAAAAUAUUAUCCACGAGUCACCAGAAAUGGCAGCACAGAAGAAACGCAAGACAGCAAGUGAGUGUAGAAGAUUUCAAACACUGUGGGAAAAUGAAUAUUUCUUUAAAGAAAUCAACGGAAGGUGUGUCUGUUUGCUUUGCAAUGACGGUCCGUCGACACUAUGAGACCAAGCAUCAGAGCUACGCAUUGUACACAGGUGCCGAACGAGCACAGAAAUUCAAGCAAACGGCAGCUAGCCUGCUAGCGUGUUCUUCGUGCUAACAAAAUACAGGAAAACAGCAGCAAGCUAGGAAGUCGCACAACUUAUUGCCCAGCAUGGCAACCGUUCACCUCAGACGGUGGUUUCAUGAAGCAGUGCCUCAUCAAAGUCACAGAAGUAAUGUGCCCGGAAAAAGUGCAGGAUUCAACAACGUGAGCUUUUGCAGAAACACAGUGGUGCGGAGAGUCGAGGCCUUGUCAUCUAAGAUGAAACUCCAGCUGAGAGAAAGCUUGUGCUCUGAUUUUUACUCGAUAGCGCGCGAUGAGAGCACAGACACCGCACAGUUUUUAAGUUUUUGGCGGGGAGUCGAUGAUAUUUUUUGCUGUACGGAGGAGCUGCUUGAUAUGAUGAGCCUAAAAGGCACAACGACGGGUGGAACUGUUUUUGACGCUGUGUCAGAGGCAGUUGAAAGGAUGGAGCUUAAAUGGCUGCUCUGUGGAGGAACAACGGAUGGAGCUCCGCCAUGACGGGAGAGCGCAAAGGAAUGGCGUCCAUGGUGUGCGUCACGAAGCAGACUGAGAUCCAGAAUGACUGAUAGCCAUCUCUGUGUCUAAACCACCAAACUUUCUCCUGACAUCCCAGCCAUCCUUCAAUCCAAAGGACAGCAUCACUGCUCCCACUGAGAGCAAUGUUCUUCACAUUAUAGAAUAUGAGUGUUUGUGUGUGGGAAGAGGAUGAAGCAGAGUCUCCAGGAUGCAUAUCUGCAUACAGUGCUGAACCUGGAACCUCUGACACAAAUUGCCUGCCUGAUCACCGUUCUGCCAGGUUAACCUCGUCGUCUUCUGGAUCAGAGGAGGUUCUGGAUGACUUGGACCUAUACAAUUACAACACAUCAAAGGAGGGACGAUGGAGACCGAUCCCAGCUGUGAGGAACUGCAGAAAGUUUAAAGAGAAGAGCAGUCGUGUUCCUGUGGAGGAGCAGCCGUCCCGCUGGGCUGUGGAUCCCGUCGAUAUCAAAUGGGGACACUGGUUUAGACCAACACUGUCCAGCACCAUCCAAAUAGAUGCUGCUCUGCAGGAGGCUUUAGAUGAACAUAAGCUCAGUCUGAGGAGCAGAAGUAAACGUGUGACUGAAGGAGGUCAAACAGGAAGUGGAGUCCUCCUCACCAGCAUCUACACUGAGCUCUACAUCACAGAGGGACAGAGUGAAGAGGUGAACACCCAACAUGAGGUGAGGCAGCUGGAGACAGCUUCCAAGAAGAAGACCCUCCAUGAGGCUCCCAUCAAGGUCCACAACAUCUUUAAAGCCUCUUUUGCCACACAUGGACCCAUCAGACUGGUUCUGACCAACGGCAUCGCUGGUGUUGGAAAAACCUUCACGGUGAAGAAGUUCACUCUGGACUGGGCCGAGGGCCGAGAAAACCCAGACGUCAGUGUUCUGGUUCUGCUGUCGUUCAGGGAACUGAACCUGAUCAGAGAUCAGCAGCACAGUCUUCUCACGCUGCUCCAUGUUUUCCAUCCAACGCUCCAGAAGGUCCCAGCAGAGCAGCUCGCUGUCCUGAAGCUUCUGUUCAUCUUUGACGGCCUGGAUGAAAGCAGACUCUCACUGGACUUCAGCCACAGGGAGCUGGUGUCUGACGUCACACACACGUCAUCUGUCAACGUGCUGCUGACCAACCUCAUCCAGGGGAACCUGCUUCCCUCGGCUCUAGUCUGGAUCACUUCCCGACCUGCAGCGGCCCAUCAGAUUCCUCCUGCGUGUGUGGACAGGGUCACAGAAGUACGAGGCUUCACCGACGCCCAGAAGGACGAGUACUUCGGGAGGAGAUACAGGCGCAAGAAGCUGUCCAGCAGAAUCAUCUCACACGUCAAGACGUCCAGGAGCCUCCACAUCAUGUGUCAGAUCCCAGUGUUCUGCUGGAUCACUGCUACGGUUCUGGAGCACAUGUUGACUGCAAGGCAUAGAGGAGAGCUGCCCAAGACCCUGACACACCUGUACUCACACUUCCUGCUGGUCCUGACCAAGAGGAAGAGGAACAAGUAUCAUGAGGGACAUGAGACCAGUCCACAGGAGCUGACGGAGGCUGACAGGGAAGUUUUCCUGAAGCUGGGGAGGCUGGCGUUCAAACAUCUGGAGAAAGGAACCAUCAUGUUCUACCAAGAAGACCUGGAGCAGUGUGGUCUAGACGUCACAGAGGCCUUGGUUCACUCAGAAGUCUGUACUCAGAUCUUCAGGAGAGAGAGUGUGAUCCUCCAGAAAACAGUCUACUGCUUUGUUCAUCUGAGCGUUCAGGAGUUUCUGGCUGCUGUUUACAUGAUGCACUGUUACACCAACAGGAAGAUGAAGGAUGUGGAGGAGUUUCUGGAUGAAGGCUACAAUAACACAAGGUUAGAUCACCUCUUGUAUAAAACCAUGUAUAGAUCCUUCCACAGUCCAAAUGGCCACCUGGACCUGUUUGUUUGUUUCCUUCAUGGCCUCUGUCUGGAGUCCAACCAGAGAAUCUUAGGAGGUUUGCUGGGUCACACAGAGACCAGUCCAGAAACCACCCAGAGAAUCAUCAACAACCUGAAGGAGAUGAACAGUGAUAGAAUUUCUCCAGACAGAAGCAUCAACAUCUUCCACUGUCUGAUGGAGAUGAACGACCACUUAAUCCAUCAGCAGAUGCAAGAGUUCCUGAAGUCAGAGAACAGAUCAGAGGAACUGUCCUUGUUCCAGUGCUCAGCUCUGGCCUACAUGCUGCAGAUGUCAGAGGAGGUUCUGGAUGAGCUGGACCUGUGGAAAUACAACACAUCACCGGAGGGACGACAGAGACUGAUCCCAGCUGUGAGGAACUGCAGAAAGGCUCAAUUUUCUAGGUGUGGACUCACAAGACAUCACUGUGAAGUUGUGGCCUCAGCUCUGAAGUCCAACCCGUCACAUCUGUUAAAACUGGACCUGAGUGACAACUGGUUCCUGCAGGACUCAGGAGUGAAGGUUCUGUCUACUGGUUUGGGGAGUCCUCACUGUCGACUGUGGACUCUGAGACUGAUAAGCUGUAGUUUGUCACGGAUCAGCUGUGAUUCUUUGGCCUCAGCUCUGAAGUCCAACCCUUCACAUCUGACACAACUGGACCUGAGCUACAACGGCCUGCAGGAUUCAGGAGUGAAGCAUCUGUGUGGUUUUCUGGAGAAUCGUCAUUGUCGACUGGAGACUCUGAGAUUAAUUGGCUGCUGUUUGUCAGAUAUCAGCUGUGAUUCUCUGGCCUCAGCUCUGAAGUCCAACCCGUCACAUCUAAUUGAACUGGACCUGAGCAGGAACAACCUGCAGGAUUCAGGAGUGAAGCAUCUCUGUGGUUUUCUCUCUGUGGAGAGUCAUCGCUGUCAACUGAAAACUCUGAGAUCACGUCCUGUCUGCGCUAUGGAUUUGGGUCCUUCCCCAUGUGAUCGUGACACAUUGCAGCUACCUAACCCAGUUCCAGCUCCACCGGAAUCUUCAUGUCUUCGUCCACGGGCCUGGGAUUCAUGCCUGCUUCCUGCCCCAGCCCCGCCGCAGCAGCCAGCUUCCACCUAUGUUGCUGUCCAGGCAACCCAAACUCCAGCUAAGCCAUUUCAAGCCCAAGCUCCAGAUUCGGUCCUGUCCAGUCCAGCCCUUCUCGACACUGAAGAGAAGGCCAGGGAUGAAAUCAACUCCAGAUUCUGCAGUUCGUCAGAGAUCAGCUAUGAUUCUCUGGACCUGAGUGAGAUCUACAGCCUGCAGGAUUCAGGAGUGACGCAUCUGUGUAGUUUUCUGGAGAGUCGUCACUGUCGACUGGAGACUCUGAGAUUAAUUGACUGCAGUUUGUCAGAGAUCAGCUGUGAUUCUCUGGCCUCAGCUCUAAAGUCUAACCCUUCACAUCUAAUUGAACUGGACUUGAGCAGCAACAAGCUGCAGGAUUCAGCAGUGAAGCAUCUGUGUGGUUUUCUGGAGAGUCGUCUCUGUCGACUAAAGACUCUGAGAUUGAAGUCUUGCAGCUUGACGGAGAAGAGCUGUGAAUAUCUGGCCUCAGUACUGAUGUCUAGCCCCCUUCUCAAAGAACUGGAUCUGAGUUUUAAUUGGCUACAGGGUGUGGGAAUAAACCUGUUGUCUGAUGUUCUGAAUAGACCCGACUGUAAACUGACAAUUCUGAGAGUGGACAGUGGAAGAAACCUCAUUCUUCCUAUGGCAAGACCUGAAGCACCUCUUACUCUGUCUCAUCUGACACUGGGUCCAAGUGAAACAAACACAGAGCCUCAUUUGUCAAAGAACACAGAUGUGGUGAAGACAUCAACAAAUUUUAUACCUGAAGUUUUGAUGAUUGACUCUGAAGAAACUUCAUACAGGUUCAGCGUCCAGGGUCCAGGGACGUACCAGUGUGCUGUCACCCGGCUGGUGUUUAACAUGACUCAGCAGGGGCAGCUGUCAUACAGGAUCAUUCAGUGGGACGAGAGCCUCCUGCAGUCAGCUGGAAAGACACCUGCAGGUCCACUUUAUAGCAUCCAGUGCUCUGAGGAUGCUGUGUCUCAGCUGCACCUCCCUCACUGUGAAACACAACCUGAGCUCAUCACUGGGGGCCUGUCUGUUGCCCACUUUACUGAUGAUGGAAUGACUGCAGGUACUGUGUCUGCUGUUGUAGGAAGUGCUGUGACUAGUAUGAAGAAAACAUGUAGUGUCAGGAACUGUCAGGAAGCGAGGUUGCUGCAGGACACACAUGCACAGCCGGAGACAGGGCGAGCUUGGAUGUCAGUUUAUUGAGAAAUACUUCACAAAACUGCAGGCAAAGAUCAAUGUCAGACAGGCAACGGUCGGCAAUGGGAGGUCCAGAACACAGGCAGAAGUACCGACAGGGAACAAGUAAAGGCAGGUAAAUAAGAUAACAAAACUGGAUCUUACGCGGAAUUAAACAGAGGAUGAAACGCUGGACUGAGGUGAUUACAUGCUAUGAUCUGGCAGAGAACAGAGGUAUGAGCUGGGAACUACUGUAAAUACUGUCUGUCACGGUCUGGACUUUUGUGUGUGUGUGUGUGUGUGUGUGUGUGUGUGUGUGUGUGUGUGUGUGUGUGUGUGUGUGUGUGUGUGUGUGUGUGUGUGUGUGUGUGUUUUCCUGUGUUUAUUUUGACAUUUCCUGCUUUGUUUCUACUGGUUUUAGUUAUUGUUUAGUUUAGUUUAGAAAUAAGUUUAGUACUUAGUAGCCAUCCCAACUCCAGGAGAGUCGAGGCGGCUGGCGAUGGAACAGGGUCCAUCCAGCGGCCCAUAGGGAACCGUGACGUCCCCCAGGCGGACGCCAAUCCGGGACACAACGCAUCGAGGAGGUUGCCGACGAAGAAGGCAGCGCCAACCCUGUGGCAGGAGGGCCUGGCCACCAGCCCGGCAGACGACACCAUCAUAGGACUCUGCCAGGCCGAUGAGAUGCCAGAAACAAAUUCAGAGACGUGCGACAAUCCAGUGACAAGGACAGACGUGGGACCGGAACCAGAGACUGGGAUCGACGUAGAGCCAGAACCAGAGAUGAAGACAGAUGUGGAACCGGAGCCAGAGUCGCACCCAGGCUUGAUGCCAUAACCAGAGACGAGGACAGAUGUGGAGCCGGAACCAAAGCCAAAGACACGAGCCAGAGACAAAGACAGACGAGACCCCAAAGCCAGAACCAGAGAAAAAACCCAGAUGUGAAGCCAGAACCAGAGACGAGGACAGAUGUGGAGCCGGAACCAAAGACACGAGCCAGAGACGAACCCAGAUGUGGAGCCAGAGCGGAUGCGGUCCUCGCUGAACCAUCAAGAACUGAAGCAGACGCAGUCAACACCACACCACUAGGAACUGAAGCAGACGCGGUAGAUUGCGGGCCGCCAGGAGCUGAAGCGGAUGCGGUCGGUGCAAGACCACCAAGAACUGAGGUGACAUUUAUUGAGUUUACAGGAACCGAGGGUGGAGCAGUCAUCUCUGGACAGCUGGAAACGGAAGUCAGCGUGGCCUCCCUUGGCCCACCAGGGACGAAAGCAAACGUGCUCCUCCGAGAACCAUCGGCACCUCCAGGGAAGACACCUGUGCACAGAAGAGCUGAAGGCACCAGGCCCCGGACCGGGGACAGCCGACGGGGACUGAGGCAGGGAUGGCCUCUUCACGGCCGACAGGGACUGAGGUGGGAACCGGGGCCUGGCUUGGCUGUGCGACAGCAAAGCUCGACGGGGCAAAGCCGGGCUUGAAUGGACCGGAGCUGUGCUUGGCCGGGCAGUAACCAAGGCCAACCAAGUAUGACUGAAGCGAGACUGGAGCUUGAGCGGGACGUGGUUUCCAACCUCAAAAAGGUCCUAAAACAAAACUAGGCUCACGCAAAAUGGGGCGCUGGCUGGGUCCCGGUUUGGCCAGAUCGUCAGGAAGCAAGCGUGACGCAGGACCCACAUGGCUUGUAUGUCAGUUUAUUGAGGUCCAGAACACAGGCGAAGUACCGACAGGGAUCAAGCAAAGGCAGAUAAAUAUGAUUUGAACUGGAUCUUACGGGGACAGAGGACGAAACGCUGGACUGAGGUGAUUACACGCUACAAUCUGGCAGAGAACUGAGGUUAAAAAGCAGCAUGAGGAUGCUGAACACAUUGUUACACCUUCUUCCUGUCUCCUCAGUAAAGGUCAAACCUACAGUCUGCACUGUCCUGAGGCCUCCAGAGUCCAACCUGC